rnacentral:rRNA from 1 species
UACGUAGGGUGCGAGCGUUGUCCGGAAUCACUGGGCGUAAAGGGUGCGUAGGCGGGUCUUUAAGUCAGAGGGGAAAUCCUGGAGCUCAACUCCAGAACUGCCUUUGAUACUGAGGAUCUUGAGUUCGGGAGAGGUGAGUGGAACUGCGAGUGUAGAGGUGAAAUUCGUAGAUAUUCGCAAGAACACCAGUGGCGAAGGCGGCUCACUGGCCCGAUACUGACGCUGAGGCACGAAAGCGUGGGGAGCAAACAGG